GAUGAAGAACGUAGCGAAAUGCGAUACGUAAUGUGAAUUGCAGAAUUCAGUGAAUCAUCGAAUCUUUGAACGCAUAUUGCGCUCUCUGGUAUUCCGGGGGGCAUGCCUGUCCGAGCGUCAUUGCUGCCCUCAAGCACGGCUUGUGUGUUGGGCCUCCGUCCUCCUCCCGGGGGACGGGCCCGAAAGGCAGCGGCGGCACCGCGUCCGGUCCUCGAGCGUAUGGGGCUUCGUCACCCGCUCUUGUAGGCCCGGCCGGCGCUUGCCGACACAUCAAUCUUUUUUCCAGGUUGACCUCGGAUCAGGUAGGGAUACCCGCUGAACUUAAGCAUAUCAAUAAGCGGAGGA
rnacentral:misc_RNA from 1 species